rnacentral:rRNA from 1 species
GACGAACGCUGGCGGCGUGCUUAACACAUGCAAGUCGAACGGAAAGGCCCUGCUUUUGUGGGGUGCUCGAGUGGCGAACGGGUGAGUAACACGUGAGUAACCUGCCCCUGACUUUGGGAUAACUUCAGGAAACUGGGGCUAAUACCGGAUAGGAGCUCCUGCUGCAUGGUGGGGGUUGGAAAGUUUCGGCGGUUGGGGAUGGACUCGCGGCUUAUCAGCUUGUUGGUGGGGUAGUGGCUUACCAAGGCUUUGACGGGUAGCCGGCCUGAGAGGGUGACCGGCCAAAUUGGGACUGAGCUACGGCCCAGCCCCGUAUGGGAGGCAGCAGUGGAGAGUAUUACACAGUGGGCGGGAGCCUGAUGCAGCAACGCCGCGUGCGGGAUGACGGCCUUCGGGUUGUAAACCGCUUUCGCCUGUGACGAAGCGCGAGUGACGGUAAUGGGUAAAUAAGCACCGGCUAACUACGUG